rnacentral:rRNA from 1 species
CUGGUUUGGUCAGCGGCGGACGGGUGAGUAACACGUGGGCAACCUGCCCGCAAGACCGGGAUAACUCCGGGAAACCGGAGCUAAUACCGGAUAACACCGAAGACCGCAUGGUCUUUGGUUGAAAGGCGGCCUUUGGCUGUCACUUGCGGAUGGGCCCGCGGCGCAUUAGCUAGUUGGUGAGGUAACGGCUCACCAAGGCGACGAUGCGUAGCCGGCCUGAGAGGGUGACCGGCCACACUGGGACUGAGACACGGCCCAGACUCCUACGGGAGGCAGCAGUAGGGAAUCUUCCGCAAUGGGCGAAAGCCUGACGGAGCGACGCCGCGUGAGCGAAGAAGGCCUUCGGGUCGUAAAGCUCUGUUGUGAGGGACGAAGGAGCGCCGUUCGAAGAGGGCGGCGCGGUGACGGUACCUCACGAGGAAGCCCCGGCUAACUACGUGCCAGCAGCCGCGGUAAUACGUAGGGGGCGAGCGUUGUCCGGAAUUAUUGGGCGUAAAGCGCGCGCAGGCGGUUCCUUAAGUCUGAUGUGAAAGCCCACGGCUCAACCGUGGAGGGUCAUUGGAAACUGGGGGGACUUGAGUGCAGGAGAGGAGAGCGGAAUUCCACGUGUAGCGGUGAAAUGCGUAGAGAUGUGGAGGAACACCACUGGCGAAGGCGGCUCUCUGGUCUGCAACUGACGCUGAGGCGCGAAAGCGUGGGGGAGCAAACAGGAUUAGAUACCCUGCUAGUCCACGCCGUAAACGAUGAGUGCUAGUGUUAGAGGGGGUCGCACCCCUUUAUUGCUGCAGCUAACGCGAUAAGCACUCCGCCCUGGGGAGUACGGCCGC